GUCGACCAACCGGUUAUCCCGGAACAGAUUUGAUGAAAAUUUGAUAAAAAUCAACUGUUAGACACUCGGUAUCAGAUUGAGAAAAAAAUCAUUUUUUUACUCAAAUUUGAUAAAAAUUUUAAUUCAGGUUGGAGAUGCGAGUUUGGAAUGACCUUUCUAAAACAUUUGAAACAGAAAUUCAUGUUGACUCUCUUUGCUGGGCAAAUAUUUUCCACAUUUUUUGAAGUUUGGUACAACUGAAAAUAAGAGUCAACGAAAGAAAAUGUUUUCCUUUUUUUUAAACCAGAAAACAUUUUCCAGAAGUCGAUCAAUUUGUCAAGCAGCACUGAGCUUCUCGUUCCAGCGAUAGCAUUGAUUUACUUUCAAAUCUACGAACCAACCCUCCCAGGUACAAUUUUCUAGUAACUAUUGUAGAUAUGUUGUGAUUUUCUUAAAAUUUUGUUACAGAUCUAUAUGUUUUCGCUGUUGUUGAGAUAUAUAAUUGAUUUCUAUGGUUGGUUUGCUUUCAGAUCAUUAUGUUUUUCUAUACCUAUGUUAAACAUGAUUUCCGUUGGUUUUCUAUGGAUGAUUUCUGGGCAAUUGCUUUUUCCAGAUCUGUUAUUUCUUUUGGGUAUUUGGAUCUUGGAUGAAUUGAUGCUGAAUUCGAUUUUUAUUUUUUUAAUUUUUUUUUUAAUUUUUAAUGUUCUGUUUGGUUACUGAGGAAAUUGAUGAAUUGAGCUUAUGGUGUUUGCUUAAAUGCCAGAGGCAGAGAUUAUUCUUAUGGCGUUUACAUAUGCAUGUAUGUAUAGUGUAUGUAUAUGGGUUGUUUAUAUGAUGUGGGUUUUAAGUUUAUGCAAAUAUGGCUCUGUUUUUGGCACUUCAAUGUCAGUAGAUAUGAAUGUGUGCCUUGUUGUGCCAUUGGGAGUCUUGAUUUUGGUGCUAAAUGUAAGGG